rnacentral:piRNA from 1 species
UGCAGAUCAUGGAUGAUGGUAGUAGA